rnacentral:ncRNA from 2 species
AUGAUUGACAUGGAACGAGGUGCCUUUGCGCACGUCAAAGGGUAACAGGGAAUCGGGUGCAAAUCCCGAGCGGUCCCGCCACUGUAAUCGGGGAGUUUUCCUUCACCAGCAGGAGUCACUUGGCCUAAGCUUUAGGGCAGCCAGGGAAGACGAAGGAAAAUAAUGAUCCGCUAGCCAGGAGACCUACCUCGUUCCAGCACCACAG